UAGCUUUGAUCGAGUCUGAGAAAAGAGAAAAGAGAAUAUUAGGAAAGCAUUAAUCUCCGAUAAGCAAUAUGUAGCUUAGGUAUCUUGUUUUUCAGCUUGUAAGGGAUUUGAAAUGUUUGCAACAAGAACAUACUGAGGUGAAGUCUACUCCUGAGUAAAAUUCGUUUAGUUGUGGGUAUUAAAGGAGACAAGGCUUUAUAGGUGGAUAGGAGAUAAGAGGGGAAUUGCUGAAGAGAAGCUUUUUAAGUGAUUAGUAGAAAGAGUUCUGAUUGGAAAGGAAACUUAAGGAGGUGGAGACUCACGAAAUGGUGCUCCUCAAAGGGAGCUGCAUAUGGAAGAUAAGGAAGCGACAACAACAACAGGAACAGGCUAGGCUUCUAGAAGAAAUACAGAAAAAAAAACACAAAGGUGGUGAUAGCGAUGAAGACAGCAUCACAAACUGGUGGACGUUGGAAGAAGAGACAGACAAGCUCUUUCAGUCUCUCUGGCACCUGAGCAAAGCAGAUAAUUAUCUCAGGGAAAGUGGAAAUGCUGUAAGAUUCAUUAGUAGAGGCAGUAACACAUGAAGAUAUUUUAAGUUUGAAGCAGAGACUGAGUUCAAGGAUUACACGUAGUGGAAAGAGGUCAGUGAAAUAAAAGAGCAUAUUCAGUUAAAAAAAAAAAGAAAUAAAAGAGCAUAGUGGUGAAGAGGAUGAUUGGAACUUUCACUCUUUCAGCAUGAUUAAAAAAAGCUUUGGGUCUUUUUCACAGCCUAAUCAUUUUCUCCCUCUCUUUUUCUGAAAGACAAAACUAUCUCAUAAGUAGAAGCUUCCUGAGAAAAAAAACAUCUUGUUAUUUGUUGUUUAUUUACUUUCUUUUCCAAGCAACUGAAACAAAAGCAAGUGUAAUCUUGGAAGCUAAGGGCUUUGUAGGAAAUGCAAUGUUUGAUUCAAAUA